rnacentral:lncRNA from 1 species
UUUUAAAAUGAAAAAGUAAAAAGGUUCAAAUCCAUUAAAAAUUUAACAUAAUUAUUAUUUAUAUAUUUUUUAAUACACAAUAUUGAAAUGGCGAAGAAAAUUAAUUUUAUUUCAAAUUCUUAAUGACUAAUUCUGUAAAGUUAUUUUUUGAAGGAUUUAAAGUGACUAAAUUUGAAAAGUAAUUUUUUAGAACUUGGGAAGCAUGAUACAUAUUAUGAUUCUUUUAAACUAAAAAAUAAUUAUUAUUGUGAAUAAUUAGUCAUGUAUGUAUAUCGAUUAUUUUCAACAAAUCAAUCAAAAAUUUAAAUAUAAAUAUCAAACAUACCUCUCAAAAGUAAUUAUUAAGCAUUUCUUGCGAUAGGAGUAAAUAUUUAUGCGCUCCGAAAUUUUCAAUACUAUGACGAAGUCCAAAGCGACUGGUAUAUAUCCUGAAAAAAAAAGAAUAUAAUAUAUACAUUACAAACAGACCAAAUCAUUAAACGUAAUUAUUUUCGAAUUUUG